rnacentral:rRNA from 1 species
CAGCCGCCGCGGUAAUACGUAGGGUGCGAGCGUUAAUCGGAUUUACUGGGCGUAAAGCGUGCGCAGGCGGCCCGUUAAGACAGGUGUGAAAUCCCUGGGCUCAACCUAGGAAUUGCGCUUGUGACUGGCGGGCUCGAGUACGGUAGAGGGGGGUGGAAUUCCUGGUGUAGCAGUGAAAUGCGUAGAGAUCAGGAGGAACACCGAUGGCGAAGGCAGCCCCCUGGGCCUGUACUGACGCUCAUGCACGAAAGCGUGGGGAGCAAACAGGAUUAGAUACCCUGGUAGUCCACGCCCUAAACGAUGGGUACUAGCCGUUUGUUGCGCGAUAGCGCUGAGUGGCGAAGCUAACGCGUGAAGUACCCCGCCUGGGGAGUACGGCCGCAAGGUUGAAACUUAAAGGAAUUGGCGGG